UCUUUUUCCUUCUUCUUACUUAGUUCUUUGGUUUAUGAUAUUUGAAUGUGACUUCUAACUCCAUGCUUCUAUUAGAUUGGUUCUGCGCUUUGUUUGGGGGUAUGUUAGUCGGAAAAAUUUUUAAUUUGGGGAAGCCAAAUGUUUCCAUUAACUAUUUUUUACGAGUUCUCUUGGGUUUUGUUUUCUAGUUGGUUUUGAUUAAUCAAACUUCAUCUUUUGGUAUUCCGAUCAAGGUUUCAUCGACGUCUCUUACUAUUUUGGUUCCUCUUCAUCUGUUAUUGAGGUUUUGAUUUGGUUUUAUCUAUAAAAAUAGAAACAGAAAUAACUUCAUUUUAUGGUUGACCUUGUUUUUAGUCUGGAAUCGGGAUAAGCAAAUUAUCUGGUUAUGUGAUGAGUUAUAUAGGUAUAUUAUUGGUCAUCUUCUACUUGUUUUGAUGGUUAACAAAUCUAAAGUAUUGAUGUUCCUGUCCCACUUUUUUGUUUGUAUUUGCACUAGAUUUAAUGCGCUGAAGUCGGGAACAAUCAAUUUCUUGUCAAGUCAUCAAGUUUUCGAGGAUCACCUGAAACACAGCUCUCAAUGAUUGCUUAUCUUGGAGAGCUUGUCUUGAGCAAUGAUGUGAAAGUCCUUGUAGCCCAAACAGCCGGUUCAAUACUCGUCAAUGUCAUGAAAAGUGGGAGCAAGCAAGCGCGAGAAACUGCCCUCAAGGCUUUGAACCAAAUAUCAUCUUAUGAGACUAGUGCAAAGAUACUUAUUCAUGCAGGCAUCCUUCCACCACUUGUCAGAGAUCUUUUCACGGUAGGGAUCAACCAGCUAGCUGCCUAUGAGACUGAAAGAGGUAGUUGCAACAGUUCUUGCUAACAUUGUGUCUUCAGGUGCCAAUUUUGAGAGAUCCCUCUUGAUCAUGAUCGUUGUACCUUGGUUUCUGAAGACAUUGUACACAGUCUUCUUCAUCUAAUUAGAAACACUGGACCUGCAAUUGAAUGCAAGCUUCUUCAGGUACUUGUGGGGCUUACAAGUUCUUCAGCCACUGUUUUGAACAUAGUUGUUGCUACGAAAAGUUCAGGUGCUACCAUUAGUAUUAUUCAAUUCGAUGAAGCCCCGCAAAGAGAUGUCAAAGUGGCUUCUAUAAAACUCUUGAACAAUAUUUCUCCUUUCAUGGGUCAAGAGCUUUCUGAUGCUCUUCGUGAGACUGCUGGUCAGCUCAACAGCUUGAUUAAUAUCAUUGCAGAUGACAGUGGGAUCUCGAAAGAGCAGGCAGCUGCUGUUGGGCUCCUCGCUGACCUUCUGGAGAGUGACUCUAUUUUAACCAGGUGCCUCUUGGAUGAAGGAGCUUUCAGGAUAGCCAUCUCAAAAGUGACCAGCACCAAGCAGGGAUAACUCGUGGGGGACGCUUUGCCGCUCCUUUCCUUGAAGGCCUCGUUAGUAUUCUCUCGAGGCUCACAUGCAUUUUGGAAGGUGAAUCGGAGAUCAUUGCCCUAAUUCCUUUAUGGUUUUGUACCAGUGAUAUAGAUUUUAUUUAUAUUAAAGUCAUAUAUAUUUUUUUAAAGAAAAUAAUGAUGUUACUAAGUAAAUUUUUUACUAUUAGUUUGAAUUAUUUUACUUAAAUGUGAUAUUUAUGAUCGAAUGUGAUAAUAUAAUUAAUUGUUUGAGUUUGAGUUUUAUAAUUGUGUA